rnacentral:rRNA from 1 species
UCGCCUGUUUAUCAAAAACAUGGUUUCUUGGAAUUAUAUAUGAGAUUUGGCCUGCCCACUGAAGUUUUUAAAGGGCCGCAGUAUUUUGACUGUGCAAAGGUAGCAUAAUCAUUAGUCUUUUAAUUGAAGGCUGGUAUGAAUGGUUGGAUGAGGUGAAUUCUGUUUUAUAUUAAUUUUGUAAUUGAAUUUAGGUUUUAAGUAAAAAAACUUAAAUGUGAUUAAGGGACGAGAAGACCCUAUAGAGUUUAAUAAAUGAAAUAAUUAGUUGAGUUAAUUAAAAAUUUUUAGUUAUUAUUAAAUUUAUUUAAUUGGGGUGAUUAAAAGAUAAAAUAAACUCUUUUUUGAUUUUAAUAAUAUAAUUAGUUAUAAGAUCCAUAAUUAAUGAUUAAAAGAUUAAAUUACCUUAGGGAUAACAGCAUAAUUUUUUUUGAGAGUUCAUAUCGAAAAAAAAGAUUGUGACCUCGAUGUUGGAUUAAGAUUAGUUUUAGGUGUAGAUGUUUAAAUAAACUAGGUCUGUUCGACCUUUAAAAUCUUACAUGAUCUGAGUUCAAACCGGAG